UCACUAUCUUUACUAUCUCUGCGAGGGGAGUGUGGCGGGGCUAUAGGGUGAAGGUGGGGAGAGGGUCAGCAGAGGAACAUGUGAGCAAAGACUCUGUCAUAAAUAAGUUUAAGAAAAGGUGCUGUGCCUGGAUGUGCACAAUCGCUAGAUUUAUGUUUAAGCUUACAUAAACAACUCAGUGCAGUAAAGAGUAACAGAGCAGUAUUGCCGCCAUGAUGUCUCACCUCCAGCCAUAAGGUGGUUUUCUCCUGUCUCAGAAUAGAAUAUAUGGUCGGUUUUAUGCUGAGACAUCCAAUCCCAGGGACGUGCAGGAGACAGAUGCCACGCUCUUAUCUCAACCGCAUAGAGGCCUUCCUCUUUCACUAAUCCUCCUUAGCACAGACCCUUUACGGGUGUAGGGCUGGGGGGCUGUAAGUUCUUUCCCUUCCCAUGAGGCCAUAUCUCAGGCUGUCUCAGUCGGGGGAAACCUGGACAAUACCCAGGCUUUCUUGGGCAGGGGUCCCUGCAGACUUCCACAGUGCAUUGUGUCCCUGGGACGUGCAGGAGACAGAUGCCACACUCUUAUCUCUACCGCAUAGAGGCCUUCCUAUUUCACUAAUCUCCUUAGCACAGACCCUUUACGGGUGUCGGGCUGGGGGGCUGUAAGGUCUUUCCCUCCCCACGAGGCCAUAUCUCAGGCUGUCUCAGUCCGGGGAAACCUGGACAAUACCCAGGCUUUCUUGGGCAGGGGUCCCUGCGGCCUUCCACAGUGCAUUGUGUCCCUGAUUAAUAGAGAAUGGAGAAUGGCGAUGACUUUCACAAAGCAUACUGCCUGCAAACACAUUU
rnacentral:lncRNA from 10 species